UACCAGCUCUCCGAGUGGUGUGGAUGUUUAUUGGGCCUAAAGCAUCCGUAGCUGGCUGGACAAGUCCCCUGUUAAAUCCACCGAUUUAAUCGUUGGAGUGCGGGGGAUACUGUUCGGCUAGGGGACGGGAGAGGCAGACGGUAUUUUCGGGGUAGGGGUGAAAUCCUAUAAUCCCGGGAAGACCACCAGUGGCGAAGGCUGUCUGCUAGAACGCGCCCGACGGUGAGGGAUGAAAGCUGGGGGAGCGAACCGGAUUAGAUACCCGGGUAGUCCCAGCUGUAAACGAUGCAGGCUAGGUGUUUGGGCGGCCACGUGCCGCUCUAGUGCCGCAGGGAAGCCGUUAAGCCUGCCGCCUGGGGAGUACGGCCGCAAGGCUGAAACUUAAAGGAAUUGGCGGGGAGCACCACGAAGGGGUGAAGCUUGCGGUUU
rnacentral:rRNA from 1 species